rnacentral:tRNA from 1 species
GUUCCCGUGGUGUAGUGGUUAUCACGUGCGCCUCACACGCGCAAGUACCCCGGUUCGAUCCUGGGCGGGAACA